rnacentral:lncRNA from 1 species
CUUUUAUGAAUGAGAUUAGUGUCCUUGUGAAGAGGACUCUCAUGCCCAUUCUGCAAUGUGAGAUCUUCAUAGGCAGCCAUAUAUGAAGAAGGAAGCAGACUUGUAGACAUCGAAUCUAGACGACAAGACAGUUCUAAGGCAAGAGAAGGCUCUACUCCCCUGUUUCCUGUCCCAGUGGGACUACAUCCUUCUGCUAUUAGAACCUGGCUUUUAAUACUGAGUUCAAAGAAUCAAGUUGAAUGUUUCUAUGAAAUACAUAUUCUGGAACAAGCCCUGCCCUUGGAUACCACCCUGUUUUCGUGUUGUCUGUUGCCUCGGCCAAUGCUUAGCACCAUUCCUGUAUGAAGCUGCACAUUGGGGAAUAUACCGACCUUCUUGAGCGACUGAAUUUCCACACAGCCUUCUGGGAAAUGUGAUGUCCAGGGAGCAAGUUAACCUCUAUUUGGAAUUUAUUUUAUAAAUUAUUACAAUUGAUCAAAAUGUUGUUCAAGAACCAUGACAAUAAAGCAUAAUUUUGGUGCAUGAGAAUACAAAAAUCUGUUUCAGCAGGUACCAGCCCCUGCCAGCUGGGAAGCACAAGAAUACCAGGAGGUUGUUCUUUGUAGAAUCUACCAGUCAACUGAAAACGCCUUCUCUUCUGGCCACCAAAAGGGAAUAAAGAAUGCC